UUUAAAUUUUAUAGUUUAAUUUUAUAUAUAGUAACAUUAUACAUACCACAUAACAUUUUUGGUUUUAUAUAAUCUUUUCUAAAUUAGGAUGAUUUGAUAUGUUUAAUAUUAGUGGUCUUAAAAAAUAAUAAAUUAAAGAUUUAACCCGUAUUGAAAUGGUGGAUUAAUUAUAUUUUACUUUUUUUAUUAAUGUUGAUUCAAAAACCCGUCCCUUCAAAUCCGUCUUGCCAAAAAAUAAUUUAUUUUAUUAAUAUUAAUUUUAUUAAUGAUAUGACUCUGAAUUAUAAUCUAAACAUUUUAGCUAAUAACAUAGGAGUACACCAUAUUUAUUUAAUAGGAGAAUGUACCAUAUGACCCGAAUACACUUUUACCCAAAUCCACCAAAAAACAAAUAUAUUAGUUAGCUUAAAUUAGUUAAAGAAUACAAAUUGAAAAGGUAUAUUAUACUUUAUUCGAAUAUAGUAUCAAAACUUAUAUAACACAGAGAUUUGAUAAUUUUUUAAUUGUUGAAUACUUUUUUUUU
rnacentral:sRNA from 1 species